UUUUGUUGUUUUUGAAUUUUGUUUGUUUAAAAAUCUUUUUGAGGAAAGAUGCUUUGGAAUCCAAAAUUUUUGAGAGAGGAGAAUCAUGAUUUUGAGGAGAGAUAUUUAAACGGUGUUUAACUUCACAAUCUUUUUAAGUUAAAUUCAUAUUAAUUAUCGGUUUUAUUCCAUUAUUUAUUAUUUUGACAAUAAUUUAAUAUAUGAUUUCUUAAUGCAUAUAUUCAUCAAAAUUUUGAAAUCAAAUUUGAUUUUUUGGUGAUUAAUUCAUCUUGGUUGUGAGUGUUGGAUAUGAUGGAUGGAUAUUCUCUAAUUGGCUAAAAUUCGUCAAAAUUAUUUUCAAUUGUGAGAUUGUCUAAUUUAAGGGGAGUUUGAAAUUAUUCAAAAAUAAAGAAAAAAAAAGGAAAAUACUCCUAUGUUUAAAAGAUGUGGAAUGAGUUACAUCCAAAAGGAGUGUGAAAACUACCACCACAUGUAGGAAAGAGCUACCACCCCGGUCGUCCGGCAAGUGUGUGAAGCUACCACAUGAAAAUUGAAUUGAUUAAACCGAAAAAAAAAAGGUUGAAAAAUAAUAAAUAUUGUAGAAUUUUCGGAGAAAUAAGGUGCUAGUUUGAGAAAGAUGUUCAAAGAGCCACCCCCGGUAUCAUAGUGGUUAAAUCUCUAUUUUGAACGUGUUACGACAAAUUUGUGUCAAUUUUAUUGAAUUUCUAAACAAUCAUUUUUCAUUAACUUACUUCUUGAUGGUUUUGAAUUAUUAAAUCACUUUUGAUGAUGGAAUUUUGAUGUUUUGAUGGAUUUUGAAAAUUUAUAAUAUCUUAUUUUCUUUAUAAUAAUUUUUGGAGUAAAAGUCUUAAUUUAUAUGAAAGUAAUUUAAUUUGAUGGACAUUUAAAGGCAAAUUUUUCGAAAUCUGGCAAUGUGUACCGGUACAAAAUCCCGUGUACCGGUACAAAUCACUGUAGUCGCGAUAAUAUAACCGGUUACAGAGAUUUAUUUCUCACUCUAAUCUAAACCAAAUUUCGCUCUUUCUCUCUCUAAAAAUUCCUGGUGCCUUCCUCUUCCAGAUCUACACGUUUUUCCCCAAAAAUCUGU
rnacentral:lncRNA from 1 species